rnacentral:rRNA from 1 species
GAGUAAUGUCUGGGAAACUGCCUGAUGGAGGGGGAUAACUACUGGAAACGGUAGCUAAUACCGCAUAACGUCGCAAGACCAAAGAGGGGGACCUUCGGGCCUCUUGCCAUCGGAUGUGCCCAGAUGGGAUUAGCUUGUUGGUGGGGUAACGGCUCACCAAGGCGACGAUCCCUAGCUGGUCUGAGAGGAUGACCAGCCACACUGGAACUGAGACACGGUCCAGACUCCUACGGGAGGCAGCAGUGGGGAAUAUUGCACAAUGGGCGCAAGCCUGAUGCAGCCAUGCCGCGUGUAUGAAGAAGGCCUUCGGGUUGUAAAGUACUUUCAGCGGGGAGGAAGGGAGUAAAGUUAAUACCUUUGCUCAUUGACGUUACCCGCAGAAGAAGCACCGGCUAACUCCGUGCCAGCAGCCGCGGUAAUACGGAGGGUGCAAGCGUUAAUCGGAAUUACUGGGCGUAAAGCGCACGCAGGCGGUUUGUUAAGUCAGAUGUGAAAUCCCCGGGCUCAACCUGGGAACUGCAUCUGAUACUGGCAAGCUUGAGUCUCGUAGAGGGGGGUAGAAUUCCAGGUGUAGCGGUGAAAUGCGUAGAGAUCUGGAGGAAUACCGGUGGCGAAGGCGGCCCCCUGGACGAAGACUGACGCUCAGGUGCGAAAGCGUGGGGAGCAAACAGGAUUAGAUACCCUGGUAGUCCACGCCGUAAACGAUGUCGACUUGGAGGUUGUGCCCUUGAGGCGUGGCUUCCGGAGCUAACGCGUUAAGUCGACCGCCUGGGGAGUACGGCCGCAAGGUUAAAACUCAAAUGAAUUGACGGGGGCCCGCACAAGCGGUGGAGCAUGUGGUUUAAUUCGAUGCAACGCGAAGAACCUUACCUGGUCUUGACAUCCACAGAACUUUCCAGAGAUGGAUUGGUGCCUUCGGGAACUGUGAGACAGGUGCUGCAUGGCUGUCGUCAGCUCGUGUUGUGAAAUGUUGGGUUAAGUCCCGCAACGAGCGCAACCCUUAUCCUUUGUUGCCAGCGGUCCGGCCGGGAACUCAAAGGAGACUGCCAGUGAUAAACUGGAGGAAGGUGGGGAUGACGUCAAGUCAUCAUGGCCCUUACGACCAGGGCUACACACGUGCUACAAUGGCGCAUACAAAGAGAAGCGACCUCGCGAGAGCAAGCGGACCUCAUAAAGUGCGUCGUAGUCCGGAUUGGAGUCUGCAACUCGACUCCAUGAAGUCGGAAUCGCUAGUAAUCGUGGAUCAGAAUGCCACGGUGAAUACGUUCCCGGGCCUUGUACACACCGCCCGUCACACCAUGGGAGUGGGUUGCAAAAGAAGUAGGUAGCUUAACCUUCGGGAGGGCGCUUACCACUUUGUGAUUCAUGACUGGGGUGAAGUCGUAACAAGGUAACCGUAGGGGAACCUGCGGUUGGAUCACCUCCUUACCUUAAAGA